GAUGAACGCUGGCGGCGUGCCUAAUACAUGCAAGUCGAGCGAACAGACGAGGAGCUUGCUCCUCUGACGUUAGCGGCGGACGGGUGAGUAACACGUGGAUAACCUACCUAUAAGACUGGGAUAACUUCGGGAAACCGGAGCUAAUACCGGAUAAUAUAUUGAACCGCAUGGUUCAAUAGUGAAAGACGGUUUUGCUGUCACUUAUAGAUGGAUCCGCGCCGCAUUAGCUAGUUGGUAAGGUAACGGCUUACCAAGGCGACGAUGCGUAGCCGACCUGAGAGGGUGAUCGGCCACACUGGAACUGAGACACGGUCCAGACUCCUACGGGAGGCAGCAGUAGGGAAUCUUCCGCAAUGGGCGAAAGCCUGACGGAGCAACGCCGCGUGAGUGAUGAAGGUCUUCGGAUCGUAAAACUCUGUUAUUAGGGAAGAACAAAUGUGUAAGUACCUAUGCACGUCUUGACGGUACCUAAUCAGAAGGCCACGGCUAACUACGUG
rnacentral:rRNA from 1 species